rnacentral:rRNA from 1 species
AUGGUUCUCCUCCCAAAAACCCAGGCUCCAACCUCUCCAGACGCUUUUCGGCCAAUCUCUCUACAAAACUGCACCCCAAAAGCCGUAUCCAAGGUUCUCACAAACAGAGUUAAACCCCUCAUCCCACUGCUCAUUCAUUAUGAUCAAACGGGCUUCCUGCACGGACGCAACAUCGCCGAAAACUUCAUUUAUGCUGCUAAUAUCCUCAGCGCUUGCCACACAAGAAAAGCCCCGACCAUGGUCUUCAAGCUUGAUUUCAGGAAAGCUUUUGACUCCAUAUGCUGGUCCUCCCUCAUUGAAAUCUUACAAGCUCGGGGGUUCCCUCCCAUUUUCUGCUCAUGGGUCCAAAACAUCCUGCACACUGGCAAAACGGCUAUUCUCCUAAAUGGCAAUCCGGGGUCCUGGAUCCAAUGUAGGUGUGGCCUCCGGCAAGGUAACCCCUUCUCGCCAUACUUGCUCAUCAUUGUUGCAGAUGUUCUUCAACGACUGAUCGCGAAGGCUUUCCAAACGAACGUAUUAUGCCACCCGCUCCGACCAAACAAACCACCAGUGACACUUCAAUACGCUGAUGAUACUCUAAUAAUUGUUGCUGCUAGCGACGACGCUACCACAACACUCAGAAACACUCUACACGAUUUCGCCCCUGCAACUGGGUUGGUUAUCAACUUCCAAAAAACUGCACUUCUCACCAUUGCCAUGGAUACCUCCACUCAAAACAAGAUCGCUGCAGCUAUCGGGUGUUCUUUAUCCUCCUUUCCGUUAAUCUACCUAGGUCGCCCUCUCUCCCUACCAAACUGCCACUCUCUGCUUUCGACCCGAUCAUCGACAGCUUUCGAAAAUUCCUCUUCGGUUGGGUAG